CGCGGAGUGGAGCAGUCUGGUAGCUCGUCGGGCUCAUAACCCGAAGGUCGUGUGGUUCGAAUCCCGCCUCCGCAACCA
rnacentral:tRNA from 1 species